GACGAACGCUGGCGGCGUGCUUAACACAUGCAAGUCGAGCGGUAAGGCCCUUUCGGGGGUACACGAGCGGCGAACGGGUGAGUAACACGUGGGUGACCUGCCCUCAGCUCUGGGAUAAGCCUGGGAAACCGGGUCUAAUACCGGAUAUGACUCCAUGACGCAUGUUGUGGGGUGGAAAGCCUUGUGCGGCUGAGGAUGGGCCCGCGGCCUAUCAGCUUGUUGGUGGGGUGAUGGCCUACCAAGGCGACGACGGGUAGCCGGCCUGAGAGGAUGAUCAGCCACAGUUGGGACUGAGACACGGCCCAAACUCCUACGGGAGGCAGCAGGUGGGGAAUAUUGGACAAUGGGACGAAAGCCUGAUCCAGCCAUGCCGCGUGAGUGAU
rnacentral:rRNA from 1 species